CAGAGGACUCCAGGACUGCUGAGGCUGUGGGAUGAAGUGUAAUUCUAGUCCCCAAACAUACAGAGUCUUUGAAAUUUUUGUUACAGUGACUGUAAAAGUGUGAAUAAUAGGAAGAAAAAAGAAGGAAAAGUAUGAGAGCAACAGGAAAAAUGGAUUAAAAUUAACUGUGAUAAAAGACGUACUUAUAACCUUAAAGAAUUUCGUCUUUAAUUUCAAGAAGAAAAAUACCCGGUAUUUACUUGGAUACACAAAAGACAAUGAAGAAACUACUACCACCACUAACAACCUUUACUGAGCAGAUACUAUAUGCCAGGCACUACUGUUAGCAAAAUGAACUAGAAAUGUCACCGAGACACACAGCUAAGGCGGGAACUGAGGAGAAAAUCUGGGCCACUCUAUAACCCUGCGCCUCUGGUCCGGCAGCCCUCAGCUCAGAGGAAAGCACCCCGAAAGGCAUCGCACUGAUCGGAUGAAAUCUGAUUGUACGCCCAGCUUGCACCUGCUGUCAGAAGAUAUAUGUAGUAGAGACUGCUAAUUGUUUUCACAUCUCUAUUCUCCCCUUCUUCCCUAGCAACAAAUCUCCAUUUUUAGCCUUGUUAGGUAGGAGUCACAGAGCUAACUAUGAAGAGUACACAGGAAUCAAAGAAAUACCUUGCUUAGGACUCUGCCUCCAACCCCGACAGCAGAGCCCACUUGAUGUUUCAGGCUUAUACCUCUAGAUUUCCUCCCAACCCUAAGGAUUGGUCUGGAACAAUAACCAAGACUUCCUGGAUGUAACCUGGAAACCAAGCCCCAGUUCUCAUGGACUAAAAGCUAAGGCUGAAGCGAAGGUCAGAAAUCCAGAUCUGAGGUAUCAUAGAAAAUUCCUCAAGCAUAUUGAGCCCAAAUCUACCUGCAAGAAUAUAGCGCCUGGGGCCAUAGGACACUGGCAUCAAAGGCAGAUUAUUAUUAGCUAGAUAUAAGGCCACCUGGAAUAAAGACCACAUUUUCCAGACUCCCUUGCCUAAGAUGUGGCCAUGUAACUAAGUUCUGGCCAGUGGGAUGUGAGCAGAAGGAAGGCAAAAAAUUCCUCAA